AUCAGCCACCUCGUCAGCCUGCCACACCUGCCAGUAGUCAACCUCAUCCCUGCCUGUAUUUCAACCCCGGUUCUCCACACCACUCUUGCUUGAUCGUCGUUGCUCCAUACCCGGUGGCACCUCUGCGUUCAGAUUCACUCACCUCGUCAUCCGUUCUGUCGGCUGGGCUCAUCCUCCGGUCCUCUUCGGGCUUCCCCCUUCCUCCCAGUUCCCCCUUGCGUCCUCCCUUCCUUGGCCCCAGUGUCCCCCGGCUCUCUGGUCCCAGUCAACUCGGUUCCCCUUGCCUGUGUUUCCCCGGCUUCCACCUCUCCCUCCACUCCGGUCCCUCAACCCCUUGUUCCCUCAAUAAACCUCCUAUCCUGA